UCUUUUUUUCCAUUUUCAGUCUCAUGAGAAGGAUGAGACAAUACAGAUGUUAUAAUUCACGCCAUCACAAUCAGAACCCAACUAUUUCUUAAUUACAGUACAUUAUAAGCAUUUCUUGCCCUAUCAGGUGUUCUGCAGCUGUGCUCAUUUUGGAGUUGAAUUCUCAUUGUCAGAGGGUCAGGAGGGUGUUUGUGUAACUGUCAGGUCAGGAAGGUGUUUGUGUAACAGUGUCAGAGGGUCAGGAAGGUGUUUGUGUAACACUGUUAGGGUCAGAAAGGUGUUUGUGUAACCCUGUUAUGGUCAGGAAGGUGUCUGUGUAACUCUGUCAGGUCAGGAAGGUGUUUGUGUAACAAUGUUAGGGUCAGGAAGAUGUCUGUGUAGCUAUGUCAGGUCAGAAAGGUGUUUGUGUAACCCUGUUAUGGUCAGGAAGGUGUGUAGCACUGUCAGAGGGUCAGGAAGGUGUUUGUGUAGCACUGUUAUGGUCAGGAAGGUGUUUGUGUAACUCUGUCAGGUCAGGAAGGUGUUUCUAGAACAACCAGCUCCUUCAGCCAUGGUCAGUGUUAGAUGAA